rnacentral:lncRNA from 1 species
AGUUUAUAACAUUUAUAUAUUUUCUUGUUAACUAACUGUUCAAUAAAUGUUUUUAGAGUUUAUCAUAAAAAUAGUUUAAUGAGUGUUUUUUUUUAUUUCUUGCAUGCUAACUUUUUGAUACAUCUGUUCGAUUUGCAUUUUUUAUCAUUUAUUAUUGCAUGUAGUUUUUCGAUUAUAUUGCUUUGUCUUCCUAUUAUUUUCAAUUUUGAAAUAUUGGAGUCUUAUAUUAUAGUCCAGUAUUUAAUAUUUUUUCUCAUUCUAUUAUUGUUUGAAUUUGUGUGAUUGCUGCCAGUAUGCUGGUUGGCUAAAUCAGUCAGAAAUUCGAAACUCUGGUUUCUUACUCGAUUAUCUUCAUUUUAUUAUAAAUUUGUCUCCCUAACAAUAUCCAACUUUUGUUUUUGCUUCCUUCCAUUUUGACGACUGGGACCAGUCGAUGAGAUAAAUCAAGCCGAGCAUCAGGGAUGUGUAGUUUUUUACUCCGCCGCACUGUAUUGUGCAUCAAACCAUGACUUUUCUAUACAGUAUAAUUGAUCACAGUUUUGUUAAAUUUGCACAAGUUAUAGUUUAAGAAGGACAUGCAUCAGUACAACUUGAGAGUAUUUCGAUUGCUCUAAAUGGGAAGUAAUUUCACCUGGUAUAAAGCACAUUUUCUUGCUAAUAAAACACAUUAAUAAAAAAUAUAUACAAUGAAAUUGUAUAUAACAUAUUUAAGCUCUAAAGAAAGGAAUGUUUUGAAUACGCAUAAUAUUGUUUUUAUACAGAAAAUAAGAAAGUAUACGAGCACUCUUAACUGUUCAACAUGAUUCAAAACAAUUAUAUACAUAUGUAGUAUGUAUAUAUAUCAUUAUAAAUUGUAAAAAUCUUAAGUGCUCCUCAAAUCAAAUAACAAAAUCAAAUGUUAUCAAAUAAAAUAUUUUAUAAAAUUCUGUAAUUCUUGACUGUUAUAUGUAAACACCAGCCAAAUAGAACUUUGAGUAUAUUUACUAUCUUCCCAUUAUUCAAGUCUUGUGAAAGAGGUAUUUUUCUAUGUGUGAUAUUGAAAGAGCUUGUUUAACUGACUAAAAUACUGACUUGAUAUUGAUGUUAUUGCUUUAAAAAAUAAAAUAAAAUAAGUUGAGAAAAAAAAAAAAAAAAAAAAAAAAUAUUUUUUAAAAAUGAUUUAAAUAUAAAUUUUUUAUAUUUUUUUUAAAAA